rnacentral:rRNA from 1 species
GACGAACGCUGGCGGCGUGCUUAACACAUGCAAGUCGAACGGUGAAGCGCCUUCCUUUUUGGUGGGUGUGGAUGAGUGGCGAACGGGUGAGUAACACGUGAGUAACCUGCCCCCUUCUUCUGGAUAACCGCAUGAAAGUGUGGCUAAUACGGGAUAUUCUGGGUCUGUCGCAUGAUGGGUCUGGGAAAGAUAUUGUUUCGGUGGGGGAUGGGCUCGCGGCCUAUCAGCUUGUUGGUGGGGUGAUGGCCUACCAAGGCGGUGACGGGUAGCCGGCCUGGGAGGGUGGGCGGUCAAGCGGGGGAUGGGGCACGGACCAGGCUCCUACGGGAGGGAGCAGUGGGGAAUAUUGCACAAUGGGCGCAAGCCUGAUGCAGCGACGCCGCGUGAGGGAUGGAGGCCUUCGGGUUGUGAACCUCUUUCGCCAGUGAAGCAGGCCUGCCUCGUUUGUGGGUGGGUUGACGGUAGCUGGAUAAGAAGCGCCGGCUAACUACGU